rnacentral:rRNA from 1 species
UUCCCCUAGUAACUGCGAGUGAAGCGGGAAAAGCUCAAAUUUAAAAUCUGGCGGUCUUUGGCCGUCCGAGUUGUAGUCUGGAGAAGUGCUUUCCGCGCUGGACCGUGUAUAAGUCUCUUGGAACAGAGCGUCGUAGAGGGUGAGAAUCCCGUCUUUGACACGGACUACCAGUGCUUUGUGAUGCGCUCUCAGAAGAGUCGAGUUGUUUGGGAAUGCAGCUCAAAAUGGGUGGUAAAUUCCAUCUAAAGCUAAAUAUUGGCGAGAGACCGAUAGCGAACAAGUACCGUGAGGGAAAGAUGAAAAGCACUUUGGAAAGAGAGUUAAACAGUACGUGAAAUUGCUGAAAGGGAAACACUUGAAGUCAGUCGCGUUGGCUGGAACUCAGCCUUGCUUUCGCUUGGUGCACUUUCCGGUUGACGGGCCAGCAUCGAUUUCGACCGGCGGAAAAGGGUUGGAGAAAUGUGGCACCCUCGGGUGUGUUAUAGUCUCUAGUCGCAUACGUCGGUUGGGAUCGAGGAUCGCAGCGCGCCGCAAGGCAGGGGUUCGCCCACUUUCGCGCUUAGGAUGCUGGCAUAAUGGCUUUAAAUGACCCGUCUUGAAACACGGACCAAGGAGUCUAACAUGCCUGCGAGUGUUUGGGUGGAAAACCCGAGCGCGUAAUGAAAGUGAAAGUUGAGACCUCUGUCGUGGAGGGCAUCGACGCCCGGACCUGACGUUCUCUGACGGAUCCGCGGUAGAGCAUGUAUGUUGGGACCCGAAAGAUGGUGAACUAUGCCUGAAUAGGGUGAAGCCAGAGGAAACUCUGGUGGAGGCUCGUAGCGAUUCUGACGUGCAAAUCGAUCGUCAAAUUUGGGUAUAGGGGCGAAAGACU